AUUGAACGCUGGCGGCAUGCCUUACACAUGCAAGUCGAACGGCAGCACGGGAGCAAUCCUGGUGGCGAGUGGCGAACGGGUGAGUAAUAUAUCGGAACGUGCCCAGUCGUGGGGAUAACGUAGCGAAAGCUACGCUAAUACCGCAUACGAUCUAUGGAUGAAAGCGGGGGAUCGCAAGACCUCGCGCGAUUGGAGCGGCCGAUAUCAGAUUAGGUAGUUGGUGAGGUAAAGGCUCACCAAGCCGACGAUCUGUAGCUGGUCUGAGAGGACGACCAGCCACACUGGGACUGAGACACGGCCCAGACUCCUACGGAGGCAGCAGUGGGGAAUUUUGGACAAUGGGCGCAAGCCUGAUCCAGCAAUGCCGCGUGCAGGAUGAAGGCCUUCGGUUGUAAC
rnacentral:rRNA from 1 species